rnacentral:rRNA from 1 species
GACGAACGCUGGCGGCGUGCUUAACACAUGCAAGUCGAACGGUAAGGCCCUUCGGGGUACACGAGUGGCGAACGGGUGAGUAACACGUGGGUGAUCUGCCCUGCACUUCGGGAUAAGCCUGGGAAACUGGGUCUAAUACCGGAUAGGACCACUGCCUGCAUGGGUGGUGGUGGAAAGCUUUUGCGGUGUGGGAUGGGCCCGCGGCCUAUCAGCUUGUUGGUGGGGUGAUGGCCUACCAAGGCGACGACGGGUAGCCGGCCUGAGAGGGUGACCGGCCACGCUGGGACUGAGAUACGGCCCAGACUCAUACGGGAGGCAGCAGUGGGGAAUAUUGCACAAUGGGCGCCAGCCUGAUGCAGCGACGCCGCGUGAGGGAUGACGGCCUUCGGGUUGUAAACCUCUUUCAGCACCGACGAAGCGCAAGUGACGGUAGGUGCAGAAGAAGGACCGGCCAACUACGUGCCAGCAGCCGCCGCGG